rnacentral:misc_RNA from 1 species
UUUUCUCUCUCUCCCUUUUAUUCAAGUCUCUUUCCUAUAUGGACCCUCCACCGUUUUCCGGCGGACCAAUCACGGCGGCGACGGCAGCUGUGCCACCGUCGGGAACCAUCAAUUAUGCAGACUCGGCAGAUUCUUCACCGGGAUCCCGCCACACUGAUUCCUGGGACGAGCAGCAGCAGCCGUCAAACACCGCCGCCACUACCACCGGCGGGAAACUGCGGUUAAUGUGCAGCUAUGGAGGACACAUAUUCCCUCGUCCUCACGACAAAACUCUUUGCUACGUCGGCGGUGACACCCGCAUUUUCGUCGCCGAUCGUAACAGCUCUUUGGCUGAGUUGUCUGCUCGGCUCUCUAAAACCCUUCUCGGAGGGAAACCCUUUUGCUUGAAGUAUCAGCUUCAGAACGAGGACCUUGAUUCACUUAUCUCCGUUACCUCCGAUGAGGAUCUGGAAAACAUGAUCGAUGAAUACGAUCGCAUGAGUUCGUCUUCUAAAAUUACUCGGCUUCGUUUGUUUCUGUUUCCGAGUAAAAUUGAUUCAUGGAAUCCUUCAAUUGGUAUGAUUAGAGAUAGUUCAGUGAGAUCUGAAGAUUGGUUUGUGAAUAUUUUAAAUGGGGCAAAUUCUACUGCUUCAACAAAGGUAUUUUCUGAGUCUUCUUCAGUGAAUUGCCUUCUGGGUUUAGACGAUGAUUUAGGAAAUGCGAAUAUUAAGGAAGUAGAAGCUCAAUUAGAGGUAAAAAAUGGUGGGAAUAGUGUGAAAGGUACUAUACAUGAUGUUCAAUCGGUGCCGGAUUCACCGAUGGUUGAGACGACGUCGUCUUUUGGGUCGGGAUCGUCUAUGCCGUCGCUGGCGAAUUUGCCGCCGAUUAGGGUUCAUGUUGAAGAGAGUCAAAAGGGAGGUGGAAUUGAGGAGCAGUUUGCACAGAUGACUGUUGGGGUUAAGCAGAAGAAUGAGGAAGGGGGAUUUUUGGGUUUAGCUUCACCGCCGGCGCCGGCUGUUGUAGUGACGGCGACUGUUGUUUCUGGUGUGCCGGUGGUUGAACAGAUGAUGCAACAACAGCAGCAACAGGUACAGCAGCCUCAGCAGUUGAUGUCAAAGCCUGUUAUUCCAUCUGAUUUGCCUUCCCCUGAUUCAGUUUCAAGUGAGGGUAGUGGUAGGCAAAGACAUUACUUUUAUCAAGAUCCAGGGGUUCAUUUCCAGUCGGGGAGCGGUAGGAUUACAGGUAAUUCAGCUGAUCUGAAUAUGAGUGAUUCGAUGGGAAGGGUUCAGGUGAAACAACAAGUCCAGGAUGGUGGUGGUGGAUAUGCAUUGCCAGUACAAUAUGAGCAGCAUCCACAAAUGCUCCAACCCCAACAAUAUGUUCAUGCUGGGCAGUAUAUUCAACAUACACCUUCGGGGCAUGUCCCUAUGACGUCCUACUAUCCUAUGUACCCUUCACAGCACCAAACACAUAUGCAACACCCGAAUCUUGAGCACCAGUAUCCCGUUUAUUUUAUUCCUGCUAGACCAGGCCAAGGUUACAGUUUGCCAUUGCAACAAACAAAUUAUACUGAGCCUGCUCAAACAGUCCCUCCUACUCGUCCCCAAACACCUCCUACUAUGGCCAAUCCGGCAUCAGCUUAUAAUCCGGCUAGAAAUCCUCCGUCAUCUAAUCCUGAAAUGGUUGCUGGUACAUACAGAACUUCAGCUUCAGCGGCUCCACAAUUAGUUCAGAUCACUCCAGGCCAGCAUCAGCCACAAUACGUGAACUACUCUCA